rnacentral:rRNA from 1 species
UUAUUAUGAGAGUUUGAUCCUGGCUCAGGACGAACGCUGGCGGCGUGCCUAAUACAUGCA